GACAGUUGCUAAGCUAGGAGCAUGGCGAGAAUGAAGCUUCUUGCUUUGCUUCUGUUUGCCGCUUCCUUAACUAUGCUGGAAGCCAGACUUCGGUUCAGGGCUGGAUGGCCUUUGAUAUUUUUGGUGCCUCGGGUACAUCGAGGACGUAAACAUGGCGGAUUCCCCAGAUUUUUGUCGACGCCAGAGCCAAUAUGGAUAUAUAACACCACCGGACAUCCCGAACGGCAGUGUGAAGUGCAACAAAUGCAACAUAUGAACAAAACAUCAGUUCAUUUGAUCCGAUUAUAUUACGAAAACAGUAAAAAGAUAUCCGGUGACCUACGAGGAACCUUUGAUCCGAAGCAUGUGGGACACAUGCUUAUUCAACUACCAGAUGUCCCGUACAAUCAGACGGAAGAUAUAUUGUAUAUGAGUAGAAAGCAAAGAUGUGCAGUGAUUAAAGUAAGGUCCACGCUUCCAGGCAGUCCCGCUACCUAUGACCUCCGAGUACGGAACUCCUCCAUUACCCGGGGUCCCAGCCGAGGCUGCAAGAGAAAAUUUAGGAAAUACGCACGUGCAUCACAUGGUACCUACCAAAGAAAGUGCCAGGAUAUACUACGGAACAUAACGCAACCACUAUCUACUAUUGCAGCUAAACCGAAUCAGCAAAGCCAGCACGCUCGCUAGAAUUAUCUCCAGCUUUGCGGAGAUGUCUACACUAACAUCACUUAAGGCUUUUUUUUCAACUUAUGUUAGCCCCGCACCACAAGUUUUCAGUUUCAUUAAAAGUAAGUAGAUGACAUCAA